GCGACCCAGGUCAGGC
rnacentral:rRNA from 3 species